AGCGAACGCUGGCGGCAGGCUUAACACAUGCAAGUCGAGCGGACCUUUCGGGGUCAGCGGCGGACGGGUGAGUAACGCGUGGGAACGUGCCUUGCGGUUCGGAAUAACCCGGGGAAACUAGGGCUAAUACCGGAUACGCCCUCACGGGGAAAGGUUUGCUGCCGGAAGAUCGGCCCGCGACUGAUUACCUAGUUGGUAGGCUAACGGCCUACCAAGGCGACGAGCAGUAACUGGUCUGAGAGGAAGAUCAGCCACACUGGGACUAAGACACGGCCCAGAAUCCUACGGGAGGCAGCAGUGGGGAAUAUAGGACAAUGGGCGCAAGCCUGAUCCAGUCAUGCCUGGUGAGUGAUGAAGGCCUUAGGGUUGUAAAGCUCUUUUAUCCGGGACGAUAAUGACGGUACCGGAGGAAUAAGCCCCGGCUAACUUCGUG
rnacentral:rRNA from 1 species